GACGAACGCCGGCGGCGUGCUUAACACAUGCAAGUCGAACGACGUGGCGAACGGGUGAGUAACGCGUAAUCAACCUGCCCUUCAGAGGGGGACAACAGUUGGAAACGACUGCUAAUACCGCAUACUGAAGGAGGGGAUUGCGUCUGAGUAGCUAGUUGGAGGGGUAACGGCCCACCAAGGCGAUGAUCAGUAGCCGGUCGUAGAGGAGGAACGGCCACAUUGGGACUGAGACACGGCCCAGACGCCUACGGGAGGCAGCAGGGGGGAAGCUUCCGCAAUGGACGAAAGUCUGACGGAGCAACGCCGCGGGAGUGAUGACGGCCUUCGGGUUGUAAAGCUCUGUUAAUCGGGACGCGGUACCGGAAUAGAAAGCCACGGCUAACUACGUGCCAGCAGCCGCGGUAAUUC
rnacentral:rRNA from 1 species